GACGAACGCUGGCGGCGUGCUUAACACAUGCAAGUCGAACGGGAACCUUUAUUUCGGUAAAGGUGAGAGUGGCAAACGGGUGAGUAACACGUAGGCAACCUGCCGACAGGAUGGGGACAACAUUCCGAAAGGAAUGCUAAUACCGAAUGGAGUCCGGAGAUGGCAUCAUCUCCGGAUAAAAGAUGGCCUCUGAAUAUGCUAUCGCCUGUCGAUGGGCCUGCGUCUGAUUAGCCAGUUGGCGGGGUAACGGCCCACCAAAGCGACGAUCAGUAGCCGGUCUGAGAGGAUGAACGGCCACAUUGGGACUGAGACACGGCCCAGACUCCUACGGGAGGCAGCAGUGGGGAAUCUUCCACAAUGGGCGAAAGCCUGAUGGAGCAACGCCGCGUGAGUGAAGAAGGUCUUCGGAUCGUAAAGCUCUGUUGCACGGGACGAAAACCGAGCUUGAGAAUAUUGAGUUUGGGUG
rnacentral:rRNA from 1 species